UACGAAGGUCCCGAGCGUUGUUCGGAAUCACUGGGCGUAAAGGGAGCGUAGGCGGCGCGGUAAGUCAGAUGUGAAAUCCCGGGGCUCAACCCCGGAACUGCAUCCGAUACUGGAGGGCUUGAGUGCGGGAGAGGGAUGUGGAAUUCCAGGUGUAGCGGUGAAAUGCGUAGAUAUCUGGAGGAACACCGGUGGCGAAGGCGGCAUUCUGGACCAUAACUGACACUGAGAGACGAAAGCCAGGGAGCAAACGGG
rnacentral:rRNA from 1 species